rnacentral:rRNA from 1 species
AUGGGGAGAGACCCCCUCCCCAGCGCCCCUUUGCUUUUCUUCUGUCGGGCCAAGCCCAAUCUUCGGUUUCGUUCCGGAGUUGUGAGGAUCCAUUCGACUACGCCUGUUUGUCUCCUUCAUCGACUCGUUCUUCUUCCUUGCGGGAUCUCAGGCAAGAUGACCAUACCCUUGAAAUCACUUCUAUCUUUGCUUGCUAGUUACUCGCUCUUUUGCUAUGCCUAUGUUGCGAUACCUACCACUUGCUAUAUCAUGCCUCCCAUAUUGCCAUGUCAAGCCUCUAACCAACCUUGUCCUAAUAAACCGUUGUUUGGCUAUGUUACCACUUUGCUCGGCCCCUCUUAUAGCAUUGCUAGUUGCAGGUGA